CACCCGGCGGCAGGGAAGCGGGGGGGGCUGCUCGCCGAGGCCACCGGGGAGGAGCCCGCCGGGACCGGUGCGACCCAGCAGCACGGCGGAGCCGGGACGUGCCUGAAGCGCCGGGAGGAAAGACCAGCCGGGGAUAAACGCCGCGGGGGCAGCGGGCGGGAAGGAGCCCCCCGGCGCUGAGGGGAAGUAUCAUCUUCAACUCAUUCACCUGAAAAUCCCUUAACAAGUUAAGAUGCACCAAGGCCUACCGAAAGUGGACCUUAAUAUUCCUCUAUAUAUGUCAUUGCUCUGCCCUUCUGCUACACUGACGUGCUUGGUGGAAACGUUGCAGUUCCCUGGCUGGACAAACUGUGUCACGCCUGUCAGCGACAGAAGUUCUGUACAGUGCUGCUUUCUCGCUGCAGGAGGCAACGUGUGCAGCCAAGCAGUUUUAGCCGUGUAACUGCCACAUCAGCAGGACAGGGGAGAAGGAUGCCUGACAACUAGAAGAAGACAAGGAGGCCAGGAGGAGAGAGGAUGUAAGAGGACUUGAGAGAAAAAGUAUAGAAGUACCGGCUAAGGUGCCAACUGUUCACUUUCAAGGAGGAUUUACCAUAAAAUUCCAUGAUAAUAGCAAGCUUAAGCUCUCUAAAUAAAACAGAUUUUUAAUGGACUUCUGAGACCUGAUGUAAAAAGGAUGGGUGGAUCCCAGGAGAAACAAAAUGCUUGCAUGUAUAAGAGAUAUCUGCCAGGUGAGAGAAUUGAACCUUUUGAAAUUUCCGAAAUCAGUAGGGCUUAAUGUUAUCAUCAGACAGAGUUAUUAUCCCUGUGUCUGAGCUAGAGCUGUGGUUUCCAAGUGAGGGACUGAGAAAAGCAAACAGGAUUGUUUCCAGUUCAAAAAGCUCAGACUCUACUUUGCUUAGCAUGUUGCCUCUCUUGAAUGUCUUCUUUUUGCAAAUUCUCUACGGAAUGCAUGAGGAAUAGUUAACUGUUUGCUAACACUGUUUUGGCAUACCUAUGAGACUAAUACAAUAGAAAGCUAAACAACACAGCAUGCCAGUAUGCUUGGCACACUUAGUGGCCUGUUUUAAUUUACCUUAUGGCCAGCACUGAAACCAGGCAUGAUGGUAGUAAUGAAAACAACUACAUUUAUUCCAUUAACAAGACCAGUAAAGUCACUUUCAGACUUUGGAACAAGUAAAGACCUAAUGUAUAUCUUAGUAGAGACUACGUGGUUCUUGAGCGUGGUUUAAGAAAAUGAACCGCAUUCAUUUCCAUCAGAUUUCUAUAAAGUUAAUACAGACUUCAUUCAUCUUGUCUUUAUAGAAAUACAUGGAUGACCAGUUACUACAGCAGCAGCAGAAUGUGCCUGCUAUGGCUACUACUUCUAAAACAAAACAAAAGGAAACAGCAGAAAUAAAAAACCAGUCACUGGCAAGAAUAUCUCCUUGCUGUAAAUUGGAUAGGUUUUAAAAAAUUGACAGCACUGUUCCUUCUGUUCUGAACAGGAGAUCUCCAGGUCCAGAACAACUCAUCAUAAAGAUACUUCCUUAAUUAGAGUAGAAGUCACAUAUUUUGGGUCCACAUGAAGGUAAUAAGUGGUAGCAGUUAUAUGAAAUUAGAGGCAGGUGUGGUUACUAACAAAAGCAGAAGUAAAAACAAGUAACAUGCCAGGUGCUGAAGAAACUCCCAGAUAGGAAGUUUUGCGUACACUGUGAGCCCAAAUCUAAUCUGAUCUGAAGCUGAAAUUUGACUGCUAGUCCAAACCAUAUAUGUUUUUGCAUUUUGAAUGCAGGGAGAUUGUAAGUAUAUGCUUACUUCUGAGAGUAGUCCUCCAGAGAUUUGCUUUGUUUCCUUAUAGAAUAUGAAGGUAAGUCAGCAUAUUGCCCAUAAAGUGUUUUUUUUUUUUUUUUUUUUUUAACAACUACUGACAUCAUAAUUUGGCAAAUUGAUCUUAAAAAGAUUAAGUAGCUAUGCUGUGGUAAAAUAAAACAUCCAUUUCCCCUAAAAAAAUAUUUCCUGAUGCAUAUGCAACAAGUGUUACUAAUGAAGGAGAAAAUAAAUCAUUUAAAUCCCCGGGACUUAAUGUUGAAGUACUUUUCUUUUUCAGUAAGUAGCUAAAAAAGCAGAAGAGCACACAGACAAGGAAUCAUUUUACUGAAAAGAACUAGUUUUAAUUCCAGUAAUUUAGGGAAUCGAGUGAAUACCUCCUGAAAUAAGUAUUCUACAGUCAUUUUAGAUCAUUGGUUUGUGGUUUUUAUUGCCAAGUAAUAGUAAAAUUGAGCAAAUAAGUAUAUUUCUAGUACUUCAGCCUCAGAAUGUCUCCCACAGGAAGCAACAUGAAAAUAAUUUGGCUAGUAGUUCCUUUAUUUGUUGAUCCUCAGCUUCUUUGCAGGUCACGUUAAAUAAAGAGGCAAUAGCAAAAGGCAGUGUUUUUCAUGAAUUACUCAAGUCAAAUGAGCCAGAUGUGGCAGAACUAAGAAAUAGCAGGGCCUGAUACACUCUUUUGUUAAUUCCACUAAUUCUAGCUUAAUACUGGAGUAACACUGGUAAAAAGCGACCCAUAUUUUAAUUUAAAACCUCUAAUAUUCAUCUAUUAUUUAUAAGAAUAUAUAACAAAUAAUUGUGGCAAACAUUGCAUAAUAAACAUGAAAGGGAGAUUAACCUUGUGAAUUUUUAAGCUGAAGAAUAAAGACCAUUACAUUAAUAAGACUUAAUUAUAUCAUAAAAUAUUUAAAAUUAUGUCCUCUAAUAAAUGUUGUUUUUAUUUAACAUAUUUCUUUUUUUAAUCUAUUACUUUAGUAAAAUGCCUUUAAGAUGGAAACAAAAGGCAGCAGAGCUUUCUUUGUUGAUAUCUAUGCAAUUAUAGAAGAAGGGAGCCACAUGUCUUCAAGUCAAGGUCAGAUUUCAGGACAGAACAGCCUAUACUUCCGCAAGGCUCAACUCCUGGCCUAGAUGGGCUGGUGGGGGGCUGCAUCUUCAACCUUCCCUCUUCCCUCCAAUAAUGCCUCAAUUUUAUAAGACUGGCUUGGCUCUAUCCACAAUAAUGACUUAAAUAAUACAUGUAAAGCUCACCAGUUAAGUUUCUAGUCUCCACUUACCAUGUAACACUACAAAAAAAAGGUAUAGAGGAUAGCAUUCAAACACCAGCUUCUAUUCUGCAUGGGUAAGUUCACCCUUACUAUUGCAGACAAAUAGCAGGUGUAAAAGCAACAGUAGGAAAUGAUAAGGAAACCUUCAGUGAAGUUAGCAUCUUGAAAGAUACAGCAAGGGUCAUUCUGUUUGCAAAAACUGGAAGACACGGGCUUUGCAAGGAAUACAGCUGACUCCAAUAUCCUUGUGUCCAUGUCACAAGUCCUUUUCUUUACAAUAGUUCAUCUCAGCUUAUUUCCUCAAGAAAUUACUAUUGUUCUUCAAAAGACAAAACCUAAGAAGUUGCAGUGAAAAUCAAACCAAACACCAGGCAAUUAUUCAACUCACACCAGACAAGCCAAAUGUCCUGGAAGAAUUUUUUUUUUUCUCCAGCACAACUCCAUAACUUUUGAUGUCUUCCUAUAAUUAUAACAUUUCGAUACAGCAUUUCUCUCUUGAGCCCACUGUUCUUUGUGUCUUGUCUAUACUGCAUAUCCAGGUAGCCUGCAUGCCUCAGCUUUCAACUGAAAAAACUAUGCUCUAUAUAUAUUUGCAGAAACACUGAUUAAAAUCAACUGCAAACACUAACAAAUCAAAUCUACCUCAUCAACAUUACAGAUUUAUCACAGUAAGGCUACAAUGUAAUGGUCUUUUAGUGGAAAUUCUCUUCAUUUACAAUCGCACAAAUACGAGGCCCUAUCCAUGAAGCUGUUUUGCUUUUUUCCAGCUAAGUCAUUCUUUUCUGUUUACUAGAGUAGUGCUGUUUCUGAUUUCAUCCCUACAAAUUCUGUUUAUUUUUGUAAUAUUCUUUUGACUUGUCUUCUGUAGAUUAUGUGUUUUGUUGCUACAAUUGUCUUCCCACUAUCCCUCACCAUUUCCCACUCACACAUCUGUCAUCAUCCAUACUGUAAUUACAGAAAUGUUAUUUGCUGGUAGACAGAUGCAUAGGGUUGCUCACAGGAGUACUGCCAUUAUUCAGUGCAAAUAGUAUACAGAAUAUUAAAGAAUCAUAGGAAUCAAGUUUUACUAAAAGAGUAUUCUGCAAGUUACCAAAACAAACACUGAACUAAGUGUGGUUCUUGUUUACACAUUGGACAACUGUCAUCUAAAACUAGGUAACAUUUAUUUCAAUCUGGCAGCUCCAAGUGCACUGGAGAUACAAAGUCUUUUAAUUAACAUGCAUGGUACUGCAAAUAUACACAGGUGUAGACAUCUUUCAGUAGGUAUAGCUGCCAGUCACAUCACAUUGCUACAGUUGUUUGUUUUUUUUUUUUCCUUUCAAUGAACAAGUGAAAAACGGGGUUAAAAAGCAAACAAGCACUGAGCCUUCACUUCAGUAUCUUCCUGAAAAUAAGGCAUGACAUUACUUGGAAUAGCUAUAAAAAUGAGUAGUUUGUCUUUUUUGAGCAGCAUCAUAUUAUACUGCUUUAUUUAACUAAGAGUCAAGAAGCAGCACACAUAAUAAGUAGGCUUCCAUUAGAGAUACUUUUUUUUUUUUUUAAGAGUUAUUUAGCUUUGCUUUGAAGUUUUCAUAAAUAAGGCACCUGUUUCCAACUGUCUAAAGAAUCAACAAGUUACAUAGUACUUAAUAUUAAAAAUGUUCAUCUGUAGAACAAAUAAGGAAUACAGCAUCUAUGAUAGGUAAAAUGGAUCACUGCUGAAAUACAAGGAAUAGAAGUCUUCCUUAACAUACAUACAAACCAACAUAGUUAAGCCAACAUUGAAAAACCCCUGGCAAGUGUUUAUCAUCAUGCCACUAAAAUUUCACCUUGGAAUGUGUUUCAGCUAUACACAACAGCAUGUAAAAGGCUCCACAUCUAGCCUCUACAUUGGUUAAGCUGGAAAAGAAAGAGUGAAGAUAGUGCCAGUACAGAAAAGAAUGAUGGAAACAUUGCAUCGAAGAUGCUUUCCCAUGGUGAUUCUGCCUUUCCCUUUGACUUCAGCUAAAGCAGAAGAUUCUGAGCAGCAUGCCCCACGCUUUUUCCCCUCCCAAACACUAGCCUUGCAACUGCCAUAACACAAAAGCACAUAUAGGGGCAUGAGUACACAAAUGCACAUAUAGACUGCUCAUACUGUAGAGGCUUACAAGUGCUCAGUAUAUUGUAAGAUCACUUCUGAAAAGCCAGCAUCUGCUGUCAUUGAAUAAGAUAGGAUUUACCACUUGCUUUUUAUAGUUCAGCCCAGACAUGUUUAGAUGAGUGUAUGGUUUUCACAUAAAGCUUUCUGUUAAAGUGCCUUCAGACAGACUUUUAGUCUCCACACAACAGUUCACUGCACACCCUCACUGAGUUGUCUCAUAUAUAAUUUAAAUGUUUAAUGCAAAGUAAAGCUAAUGUUAACAAUACAUAUUUUUGAAGACUGACAGUAUAAUGCUUUGUUUCCUAAAGGAAUAACUAGAGUGAUCCAUAAGCAAAUAUAAACUCAAGUAACACUGAACAGAUAUAAAUUGUGCUCAUCCUUGAGAAACCUUAGAGAGCAUGAUUCUCAUCCUCCUUCUUAGCUAGGCAAAGUGCGAUUUACUGUGGUUUUCUUUCAGAUGAGGUAUUAAAAGCUGCAGUGCACUCCCUAAUGUAUUAGUAUGAAUGAUACUUUUGGAACUGUGAUGUCUGAUAAACACUGCGUGCUGCUGACUGAUGGCUCUUUCUAGCCUAGAAUGAUACUUCGACUUAGUAGGUUUGUGUGAGCUCAGAGCAAAAGCUAAGAAUAUUUAGAAGCUGAGGAUUUAAAAUUAGUAUAAAUAUAAUAUCAUUCAAAUUAAUAGGAAUAUCCUCUCAAGCCAUCCUGAAUGUUCCUUUAGGGUUUUCCCUUGCAGGAAAUUACUGGAUAUUAUCCUAGCACGGUUCUGGACAUUCUUUACAGCUAAUCAUUCUCCAAGCCCAUGGAUGACAAUCCCCAUAAGCAGGAUCAGAGACAGCAGAGUCAUCCUCCUUGUGAACAUGCACAUUCUCUUGUGUCCUUGCUGCAAGGGCCCCAGAUUCUUUUAUAAACCACUCAGAAGCAGCAGUUCUGCUAACUGUAUGAUUAAUACCUGCUCAAUAAGAAGGUGGUAUCUUCCACAUACAAUAAAUGUAGAUGAUUGUGACAACAACGCUGAGGAAAUGAUUUAGAAAUGGGUAAAAAGAUAAACUCAGAAGAUUAAUCUUUGGCAGUUUUUCUUAAGCUGUGUUAUUGUCUACUGUG
ensembl:lncRNA